UUCCUACGGGAGGCUGCAGUGGGGAAUUUUGGACAAUGGGCGAAAGCCUGAUCCAGCAAUGCCGCGUGCAGGAUGAAGGCCUUCGGGUUGUAAACUGCUUUUGUACGGAACGAAAAGCUUCGGGUUAAUACCCUGGAGUCAUGACGGUACCGUAAGAAUAAGCACCGGCUAACUACGUGCCAGCAGCCGCGGUAAUACGUAGGGUGCAAGCGUUAAUCGGAAUUACUGGGCGUAAAGCGUGCGCAGGCGGUCUUGUAAGACAGAGGUGAAAUCCCCGGGCUCAACCUGGGAACUGCCUUUGUGACUGCAAGGCUGGAGUGCGGCAGAGGGGGAUGGAAUUCCGCGUGUAGCAGUGAAAUGCGUAGAUAUGCGGAGGAACACCGAUGGCGAAGGCAAUCCCCUGGGCCUGCACUGACGCUCAUGCACGAAAGCGUGGGGAGCAAACAGGAUUAGAUACCCCAGUAGUCGA
rnacentral:rRNA from 1 species